UUUUAAUACUGUAUUAAGAGACUUUUUUUCACGCCGGGGUUAACGAUACCAAGCUGCGGCAGACGCAGACACUAAAGAGGGACUUCAGGAGCCUGAUCGAGACAGUGUGCAGCAUAUCGCCUGCACGAUGAUCAUCAUGUCAGGACCUCUUCCCAUGUAUAGAUGAGGACACGAAAGGUUCAGUAGACUUUUUGCUCUAAAUGAAUGGUUAUUGUCAUGGUGUAAAGAACAGAAACUGCUCUUUGUUAAUAAUUGGAAUCUUUUCUGCGAGCGUCCUAGGCUUUUUCGCGCUGAUGGCCUGCACCCCAGCAGAGUCGAAGCAGAACUCCUGUUGGACAACAUCUCCAGGACUCUACACUCCAUUGACUAGGCAGUUUGUGAAGACAGAUAAUCAAGAGAUGUGACAAACUGUACAGAAGUCAGUUCCAGAUCCACCCUCCACACCAGACCUCUCUCUCAUAUGGAUUUCUGUCUACUAGCAUACUUCGGUGGAUGCAGAUAUUACUCAGGGACAUGAACAUUUGAAUAUUGCAAGAAUAUAGAAAGUAAGAAUUACUUAAGAUUUAAGAAUUUAAUGUUAAUUGCUUAAACAUUAUAUAUACUGUUUUAGCAAUUAACAUUAAUAUUUUUUUUUUUAUUUUUUUUGGUGUCCAAAGCACCUAAAAGCCAAUUCACAGCACCAUACUCCAACAGGCUAAACACAGUUCAAACAGAACAAAAUAAGCAUGUUUUUUAAAAUAGUUUUUGUGGCAGUGUGAACUGGCCAUAAUGCUAUGAGAUAGGUGUGAGAUUCAUUAAACUUGAUUUGCUAUAAUACAUCUGUUCAUAAGAUAUUGCAUAUGAUUUUCAGUUAAUUAUUUGUAGUGGUUUGGUUAAGGGUGUGAUUAGCUGAUGUAUUAUUGUGGGAGCAUGUGAUUAGUUGAUGAAUUGUGUGCAUGGUUAAUUAUGGGUCUUAAAUAUUUAAAUGAAAUGUGCUGAGUGCCUACCAAGACUUGCAUAUUUGUGCAUAAUGUUUUGAUCCUGGAUGCUUACAGAAGGAUAUAGAUAUUUAAAUAUAUGGACAUUUAUUUAUUAUUAAUAUAUUUCAAUCUAUGUGCUUCUGUAUGGGCAGAAUUCUUUCAUUCAU